rnacentral:rRNA from 1 species
AUUGAACGCUGGCGGCAGGCCUAACACAUGCAAGUCGAACGGUAACAGGAAACAGCUUGCUGUUUCGCUGACGAGUGGCGGACGGGUGAGUAAUGUCUGGGAAACUGCCUGAUGGAGGGGGAUAACUACUGGAAACGGUAGCUAAUACCGCAUAACGUCGCAAGACCAAAGAGGGGGACCUUCGGGCCUCUUGCCAUCGGACGUGCCCAGAUGGGAUUAGCUAGUAGGUGGGGUAACGGCUCACCUAGGCGACGAUCCCUAGCUGGUCUGAGAGGAUGACCAGCCACACUGGAACUGAGACACGGUCCAGACUCCUACGGGAGGCAGCAGUGGGGAAUAUUGCACAAUGGGCGCAAGCCUGAUGCAGUCAUGCCGCGUGUAUGAAGAAGGCCUUCGGGUUGUAAAGUACUUUCAGCGGGGAGGAAGGGAGUAAAGUUAAUACCUUUACUCAUUGACGUUACCCGCAGAAGAAGCACCGGCUAACUCCGUG